GCUGUAACUCAGUGGCAGAAAAGCUGCCUUAAAUGCAAAAGGUCCCAGGUUCAAUCCCUGGCAUCUCCA